rnacentral:rRNA from 1 species
AUUGAACGCUGGCGGCAUGCCUUACACAUGCAAGUCGAACGGUAACAGGUCUUCGGAUGCUGACGAGUGGCGAACGGGUGAGUAAUACAUCGGAACGUGCCCGAUCGUGGGGGAUAACGGAGCGAAAGCUUUGCUAAUACCGCAUACGAUCUACGGAUGAAAGCAGGGGACCGCAAGGCCUUGCGCGGACGGAGCGGCCGAUGGCAGAUUAGGUAGGUGGUGGGAUAAAAGCUUACCAAGCCGACGAUCUGUAGCUGGUCUGAGAGGACGACCAGCCACACUGGGACUGAGACAGGGCCCAGACUCCUACGGGAGGAAGCAGUGGGGAAUUUUGGACAAGGGGCGAAAGCCUGAUCCAGCCAUGCCGCGUGCAGGAUGAAGGCCUUCGGGUUGUAAACUGCUUUUGUACGGAACGAAAAGCCUCGUUCUAAUAAAGAGAGGUCAUGACGGUACCGUAAGAAUAAGCACCGGCUAACUACGUGCCAGCCGCCGCAGUAAUAC